ACUACGGGGGGCAGCAGUGGGGAAUAUUGGGCAAUGGGCGCAAGCCUGACCCAGCAACGCCGCGUGAAGGAAGAAGGCUUUCGGGUUGUAAACUUCUUUUCUCAGGGACGAAGCAAGUGACGGUACCUGAGGAAUAAGCCACGGCUAACUACGUGCCAGCAGCCGCGGUAAUACGUAGGUGGCAAGCGUUAUCCGGAUUUACUGGGUGUAAAGGGCGUGUAGGCGGGAAAGCAAGUCAGAUGUGAAAACCAUGGGCUCAACCUGUGGCCUGCAUUUGAAACUGUUUUUCUUGAGUACUGGAGAGGCAGACGGAAUUCCUAGUGUAGCGGUGAAAUGCGUAGAUAUUAGGAGGAACACCAGUGGCGAAGGCGGUCUGCUGGACAGCAACUGACGCUGAGGCGCGAAAGCGUGGGGAGCAAACAGGAUUAGAUACCCCUGUAGUC
rnacentral:rRNA from 1 species